CGGGUGUGAGGCAGGACUGUUACAUAUUC
rnacentral:piRNA from 1 species